rnacentral:rRNA from 1 species
UACAGAGGGGGCAAGCGUUGUUCGGAAUUACUGGGCGUAAAGGGCGCGUAGGCGGCCACCGCAAGUCGACUGUGAAAUCUCCGGGCUUAACCCGGAAAGGUCAGCCGAUACUGCGGGGCUAGAGUGCAGAAGGGGCAACUGGAAUUCUCGGUGUAGCGGUGAAAUGCGUAGAUAUCGAGAGGAACACCUGCGGCGAAGGCGGCUCACUGGCCCGAUACUGACGCUGAGGCACGAAAGCGUGGGGAGCAAACAGG